CUGCUGCAGGGUACCUGGCAGAGCAAACAAGCAGAAGUCGCAUCCGAGAUGUGCAUAUAGAAAAAUUCAUGGCUUGUAUUAUGGUAUAAUACCAUCGUUUCUCAGGAGCAGGGUUCCAAACCAACAGAGUGAUGGAAGUGAUGAAGAGUAUUCACGUUAGAAGUUUCAAUACUAUGGGAGACCAACUGAGACUCCUUGGACCCAUUCCAUUCUGUUUUCUGCAGGUAGCAACAAAGGACUUACAAAAGCUUGUUGAUAACCGAGAGGCAGCAGAGUUCAUGCUACUUUUCUUUGACUGAUGCAGGCAUUCGAUGGACUAUCGUAGACAAGGCAUUCUUAUGACUUGCUUUAAUUCUGGGUUUAGCUACUGUUAUUAUAACCCAUGGAUACUGUAGCAAUGUUGAAGAGCUCAUCAGUCCCAAGACUGCAUUGUGUUAUGCAGCGUAUAAACUUGGAGCAGUUCCAUGUGUUAUUUUUGAAAAUACUUUGGGUUCUGUGCUAGGUUAUGCUUCCUGGAAUUAAUGGUUGGGACGCUGGACUUCAAACAUUUUCCCUUUGGCAGAUCCUGCUUUUCAGUUAUAAGCCUGUUAGGGCCCU
rnacentral:lncRNA from 1 species